UACGUAGGGGGCGAGCGUUGUCCGGAGUUACUGGGCGUAAAGGGCGCGCAGGCGGUCUGGCAAGUUUGGAGUGACAGUGCUCGGCUUAACUGAGCAAGGCCUUCGAAAACUGCUAGACUUGAGCACUCAAGAGGGACAUAGAAUUCCGGGUGGAGUGGUGAAAUGCGUAGAUAUCCGGAGGAAUACCAAAGGCGAAGGCAGUGUCCUGGGGAGUGUCUGACGCUCAGGCGCGAAAGCGUGGGGAGCAAACAGG
rnacentral:rRNA from 1 species